rnacentral:rRNA from 1 species
GGAAUAUUGGACAAUGGGCGGAAGCCUGAUCCAGCCAUGCCGCGUGCAGGAAGACAGCCCUACGGGUUGUAAACUGCUUUUAUACGGGAAGAAUAAGGGGUACGUGUACCCCGAUGACGGUACCGUAAGAAUAAGGACCGGAUAAGUCCGUGCAAGCAGCCGCGGUACAACGGAGGGUCCAAGCUUGAUCCGGAAUCAUUGGGUUUAAAGGGUCCGCAGGCGGGCAAUUAAGUCAGGGGUGAAAUGGUGCGGCUCAACCGUAGCACUGCCCUUGAUACUGGUUGUCUUGAGUGAUGGUGAAGUGGCCGGAAUAUGUAGUGUAGCGGUGAAAUGCAUAGAUAUUACAUAGAACACCGAUUGCGAAGGCAGGUCACUAACCAUUCACUGACGCUGAUGGACGAAAGCGUGGGGAGCGAAC